rnacentral:rRNA from 1 species
GGGGAAUUUUGCGCAAUGGGGGAAACCCUGAGCAGCAACGCCGCGUGAGUGAUGAAGGCCUUCGGGUCGUAAAGCUCUGUCAGAGGGAAAGAAGUGCAGUGGUGCUAACAUCAUUGCUUGACGGUACCCUCAAAGGAAGCACCGGCUAACUCCUUGCCAGCAGCCGCGGUAAU